AUACGGAGGGUGCUAGCGUUACUCGGAAUCACUGGGCGUAAAGCGCGCGCAGGCGGCUAUUUAAGUUGGAUGUGAAAGCCUACGACUCAACCGUAGAACUGCAUCCAAAACUAUUUAGCUAGAGUGUGGGAGAGGAAGAUGGAAUUAGUUGUGUAGGGGUAAAAUCCGUAGAGAUAACUAGGAAUACCAAAAGCGAAGGCAAUCUUCUGGAACACUACUGACGCUGAGGCGCGAAAGCGUGGGGAGCAAACAGGAUUAGAUACCCCAGUAGUCC
rnacentral:rRNA from 1 species